rnacentral:rRNA from 1 species
CUCCAGACUCCUACGGGAGGCAGCAGUGGGGAAUAUUGCACAAUGGGGGAAACCCUGAUGCAGCGACGCCGCGUGAGCGAUGAAGUAUUUCGGUAUGUAAAGCUCUCUCAGCAGGGAAGAAAAUGACGGUACCUGACUAAGAAGCCCCGGCUAACUACGUACCAGCAGCCGCGGUAAUACGUAGGGGGCAAGCGUUAUCCGGAUUUACUGGGUGUAAAGGGAGCGUAGACGGCAAUGCAGGCCAGGUGUGAAAGGCCGGGGCUCAACCCCGGGACUGCAUUUGGAACUGUGUAGCUGGAGUGGCGGAGAGGCAGGCGGAAUUCCUAGUGUAGCGGGGGAAUGCGUAGAUAUUAGGAGGAACACCAGUGGCGAAGGCGGCCUGCUGGACGAUGACUGACGUUGAGGCGCGAAAGCGGGGGGAGCAAACAGGAUUAGAUACCCCAGUAC